UGAAAGAUGCAUUAAGUUCUCUCA
rnacentral:siRNA from 1 species